AGAGUUUGAUCCUGGCUCAGAGCGAACGUUAGCGGCGGGCCUAACACAUGCAAGUCGAACGAGAACGCUCCUUCGGGAGUUAUUAAAGUGGCGCACGGGUGAGGAACGCGUAGGUAAUCUACCCUCCGGCGGGGGACAACAUUCCGAAAGGAAUGCUAAUACCGCGUAAGACCACGCCCACUGCGGUGGAAGUGGUUAAAGACGGCCUCUUCUUGAAAGCCGUCACCAGAGGAUGAGCUUGCGUCCCAUCAGCUUGUUGGUGAGGUAAUGGCUUACCAAGGCGAAGACGGGUAGCUGGUCUGAGAGGAUGAUCAGCCACACUGGCACUGGAACACGGGCCAGACUCCUACGGGAGGCAGCAGUGAGGAAUAUUGGGCAAUGGGCGCAAGCCUGACCCAGCCACGCCGCGUGUGUGAUGAAGGCCUUCGGGUCGUAAAGCACUGUGGGGAGAGACGAACAAUUUCCGUCCUAAUACGACGGAGACCUGACGGUACCUCCUUAGCAAGCACCGGCUAACUCUGUGCCAGCAGCCGCGGUAAUACAGAGGGUGCAAACGUUGCUCGGAUUUACUGGGCGUAAAGCGCGUGUAGGCGGACUCGCAAGUCGGUUGUGAAAUCCCUGGGCUUAACCUAGGAACUGCAUCCGAAGCUGCGUGUCUUGAGUAAUGGAGAGGGUGGCGGAAUUCCCGGUGUAGAGGUG
rnacentral:rRNA from 1 species